rnacentral:rRNA from 1 species
AUUGAACGCUGGCGGCAGGCUUAACACAUGCAAGUCGAGCGGGGUGAUGGUGCUUGCACUAUCACUUAGCGGCGGACGGGUGAGUAAUGCUUAGGAAUCUGCCUAUUAGUGGGGGACAACAUCUCGAAAGGGAUGCUAAUACCGCAUACGUCCUACGGGAGAAAGCAGGGGAUCACUUGUGACCUUGCGCUAAUAGAUGAGCCUAAGUCGGAUUAGCUAGUUGGUGGGGUAAAGGCCUACCAAGGCGACGAUCUGUAGCGGGUCUGAGAGGAUGAUCCGCCACACUGGGACUGAGACACGGCCCAGACUCCUACGGGAGGCAGCAGUGGGGAAUAUUGGACAAUGGGGGGAACCCUGAUCCAGCCAUGCCGCGUGUGUGAAGAAGGCUUUAUGGUUGUAAAGCACUUUAAGCGAGGAGGAGGCUCUUUUGGUUAAUACCUAAGAUGAGUGGACGUUACUCGCAGAAUAAGCACCGGCUAACUCUGUGCCAGCCGCCGCAGUAA